GAUUGUAAGUGAGAACAGGAUCAAAUAACAUCACAGUUCAUCGUUGGGUUGGAUAGUGGUGAAUUGAUGCUUUUACAUGUUACAGAUAAGCUGCAUGGAUACAUUAUGUUCUAGAUGAAAAGCAAAGAUCCAAAGCAACUUCUUCUUUUCUACCCCAAUCAUUGCAAGAAGCUUGAUCGUUACUUACAAACUGACAUCAGGAAUCGGGACAGACAGGCACAGAGAAAGAGACAGACACAUACAGGCAGACACCGAGAGCGCAAGGCAGUCACGGACAGACGCAGAGAUAGACCCUGAAAGACAGCUCGGUGGGACGGAGGUAGUUGCGAAGCGAAGGCCGCGGGGCUUCCCUUCAACCAAUACCUUUCACACUUUUCCUGUUGACAUCAGCUCCUUUCUGCAGAAGGUAAUCGGCGAUCUCCCGAUGACCCUUGUAGCAGGAGAUCAUGAGGCAGGUAUGGCCGUGCCUGUUGGCUACCUCCAUGUCAGCGCGGUGCUCGAUCAGGUACCUGACGAUAUCCAAGUGACCGUCGAAGCAAGCAGCCCGCAGCGGGGUCGAGUUGGUCAGAGUGGUGUUGUUGACCGAAGCUCCGUGUUCGAGCAGAGACCGCACCACGGUGAGGUGGCCGGCGGCCGAGGCAGCCCACAGAGGCGGCGCCCCCUCGAUGGUUUCGCCGUCGAAACUGACCGAGCCGCCGAGCUCCACAUCGGCGCCGCACUGCUCCAGCAGGUUCCUUCGCUCACAGUCCACACCGACCAACUUUUUUUUUGUUUUAAAUACCACUACCAGCCUAAAGGUAAAUUCACACAGUAGAAGAGCCGACGAAAAGCACCGCCGGGCUAACUUUAUUAGCGGAAGUUGAACUUUUUCUUCAAUUGAAAAGCAUCAUGGCUGACGCGCCGAGGAGUCUGAGCUGGAAACCCACGGAGCACGACCCAUUAUGACGAGACUGGUUUCUAUGGCGUCCACGAGCCAAUGGCACGAUAGGAGAGUUGUAGGGGCGGAGUCUCUGGUAGAGGUCAGCCGCAAAGACGUUCAAAACGCCAGGCGUUUCAAAAUGUGCCUGCUGGGCGGGCUACAUCACAAAAUGGACACAGCAUCGAAAGAAACAAAGUUGCCAUUGGACAACAACAUAGAUAUCAAAGUGGACUUUGCAGUGCCCAAAAACACUGAAGCUGAUACAGAAAGAUUUGCUUUAGGAAUACUUCAUGGGAAGAUCAUGAGUGAUUCAUUUGAAAAAUCUCUUCGAUUGACAGGCAUGCCUCUUAUUUUAUGAUUGUAAUCAAUGUAAUCAAUGAGGUGAUUGAAAGAGGGAAAGAUACAAUCCUCAGAGAUAGUAAGAACUGCCAAUGCUGGAGUCUGAGAUUACACGAUGUGGAGCUGGAGGAACACAGCAGGCCAGGCAGCAUCAGAGGAGCAGGAAAGCUGAUGUUUCAGUUAAUGAUCUGAUUGUGUGAAGGAAACGAGGAACCUUGUCUACUACAAGCAUCAAAAGAACUGUUGACACUACUCGGAAAAUCGUGUACACUUACCCUGAGAUGAGAUUCCUCCAUACUACUAGUUUAUAUUCAGCCUACAAAUGAUCAUCUAUGAAUACUGUGUUUAAGAUCUUUCAGAACAGAUAUCAGAUACAGGGUUUUAGUUUUUUUUGUUGUCUAAUUUCACAAAACUUUCUUCUUACAACUACUGAUUACCUUCCCAAAGCAGAUUUAUAUUUUGAUUCCUGAAAACUGAAUGAAUCGGAAUAAUGACUCAGAUUGAUUAGCUAGUGGUUUAUAUUACAAGACAUGAUAUAAACAUAAAAUGCACAAUGCUUAUCAAUACAAUGUCUUGUAUUUUCAAUAAUUUAUGCAUUUGUAACAAAUUGUGUUUGCAUUGAUACAAAAUAAAAUCAAGCACUCAUUGUUUCAGAAUUUACAGUGCAACGUGAACAUUUUUAAUUAAAUGAAAGUUUUAAACACAAGAACUUAUUCCAAGUACAUAUUUCAAUAGUUAUUAUUCUAUUAUUACUCAUCAGGCUUGUAAUUGUCAGAUGGAAUAUCACAAUCGGUUUUAUGCCAAGAAGUAAGCUUACAUACAAAUAUCCAUCAGUGUACACUCAAUGGUGUGGGUACUUAAAACUGUGCAUAACCAAACUUCUAAUUAUUUAAAUGGGCAAUUAAUGUUAAAUACAGGGAAAUGGCAUAAGAAAAAUAAUCAAAUUCUUAGAUGGGCAGCAUUAAACCUACAAUUUUUUAAGCACAAAAUAUCAGCAAAAUCAAUUGAAGCUCUCAAUUAAUAGAUUUAUCACUGCCCUGCGCCUGCUUGUUGAAGUCUGGAGAUUGAUUACAAUUAAAAAAAAAUUCUGCUCUUUCCUUAAAGAAAGCAACAUCUAUAAAGGUCUGACCCUAAACACAAUAUAUAGAUUUUUUUAAAAUCAACUCCAUUCAGUGAGAAAACAUUCUAUGGAUAAUUUGUUAUCCCCAUUACGUUCCUAAGCAUAAAGAAAUUUACACCCUGCCACAUACAAAAACCCCAAAUUCCUCUGUUUUUAAUCCUUACUGGUUUGAUUUACUCAACACUUGAUUUUUUUGUUUGAGAUUACCAAGGUACACAAAACAAAGUUUCACAAAACAAAAAACAAAAAACUUUUUUAUAAAACAAUAUCUUGCCUUGAAAAGCACAUUUUUCUAACCUUACCAACCUUAUAAAAUGGUUAUUCCACUGUAAUCGUAACUGUUAGAAAACCAUGACAACUUAAAGGGGCUUUUUAAAACAGGCAAAACAUUAACAAGAUGUAACCUGACUAGAUUUAUUUUGAAAUACUGUCAUUUAUGCACAACCUUGUGCAAUGGAAAAGGUACAAAAAAUGCUUCUCAAUGCAAACAGCAGUAUGCUUAAGAACUGCUAUAGUAUUUCAAAAGUUACCUCACUUUAACAAACCAAAGCACAAGUGACAAUUCAACACGAUUGCUGCUGCUUGUUUAAGAAAGGUCUUGAAACACCUGGAUGCCUAACAAACUAACAGUGAUAAGUGAAGCUAGUUGGGUUUGAAGUUAGUUUUGAUACCUUGAAGUCAAAAGAACUAUAUUUUCAAUUCUAUUGCAGCAAUGCGAGAUGUAUCACCUAUUACACAUUUCAAAAGAUGUACAAACUGGGAAUCAUGUAGCCAAGGAAAAAUAAUUAUCAAUGGCCUUGCCCUCCAGUGGACACAGCUCAUUGUGUAGUUAUCUGUUGUGACAUCCAGUUGUUGUAAACUUUUAAUAUUCUAUCUUCAAAUAUCUGAUCUGCUAAAUAAUCCAAAGUGAUGAGAAAAUCAGCUCAAGAAGGAUUUUAAUCUUAACAGUUUUCUUGAACUUAAUCUUCGAACACACAAGAUACUGAACUGAAAACUGUCAGGUACUGUUU